GUGGCUAAGGGUACAAUAAGUUCCAAUGCCCAUGUUUGCAGCAAAGGAGUUAAAUAACACCAGUCCCAGCAACUACCCUUGAGGAACUCCACUGGUCACUGGUCUUCAUUUUGACACCAAGCCACUCACAACAACUCAUUGAGUGCAGCAAUCCAAAUCAGAUCCAAAUCAGAUUUUUUCCAAGUUAGAGAACAGAUUGUCAUGUGGGAGAAUGCUGAAUGCUUUGCACAAGUCCAGAUGAACUCAGGACUUCCUUUUUGGCCAAUGCCAGCUCUGAGAGAAGGUUUCCUCACCUCCUCCCCUACACCAACGUGGGGUCCUUCCCACAGGAGAAAGUCUUUCAUGAACCCCUCCAAUUCGAGUCCUUCCUGCAAGGCACAGCUCCUUGGGAACAAACUGCUCCAAUAUGGGUGAACCAUGGGCCACAGAUUACUCCUGGAACAGUCCCCUCCACAGCUGCAGGUCCAAAACAUCUGCUCCAUGGUCUUCCACAGGCUGCAGAACCACAACUGCUCCAACGGGAUCCUUCACAGGCAGCAGGCCCACAACAUCUCCUCUGACAUGAUCCUUCAGGGUCUGUUCCACCAUAGUCCUCCAUCGGCUGCAGGGGAUAGGCUACAGCUUCAGCAUGGGUUGCAGAGAAAAAUAUCUGUUCAUGCACCUUCUCCCUCUCCUUCCUCCUCACUGUCCUUGGUCUCUCUGCUCCUUGAUUGCUCUUCUCUGGGCGAUGGUCUCUCCUGCUGUUGAGCUCUCUGGGUGUUUCCCCUUCAAUAAGUUAAUUGCAGAGGUGCUCAAAGUUCUCUGUAGAAUUUGUAAAUAAUUGGUGAAUGUAGGUUGUCCUUCUAAAAAGCACUUUAGCUAAUGUGUGGAGAGCCUAUGCCACCCAAUCUUUCUUCACCCAGUUGAGGGAUUUUAAUGUUUUAUUUCUCAGAUACUAU